GAAUUGAGGAACAUAGUGUAUAUGGGCAAUGGUUGUGAUGGAUGAUGGUUGCCAUAUACAUGGGUGGUCGAAUCCCUCAGAUAUCAACUUUACUUUCAUGACAUAUAGAAUGGUCAAUAUUGAAGUGGUCUAUCCCAUUUGAUGUUUCAAGAUUGGCAAUGAUCUUUUUCAAUUUGUGGGGCCUCUUAUCUUGAAUCAACUCUACAGAGGUUUUGUAAGCUCUUGAGAAAUUAAGAACUGGAGCAUGGGUAUUCACUUCUGCUCUCACAUUUUAAAGAAAGCCAUCACUGAUCUACUACUCUUUUUAUUAUAAAGU